rnacentral:rRNA from 1 species
UACGUAGGGGGCAAGCGUUGUCCGGAUUUAUUGGGCGUAAAGCGCGUGUAGGCGGCCAGGUAGGUCGGUUGUGAAAACUGGAGGCUCAACCUCCAGACGUCGACCGAAACCAUCUGGCUAGAGUCCGGAAGAGGAGAGUGGAAUUCCUGGUGUAGCGGUGAAAUGCGCAGAUAUCGGAAGGAACAUCAGUGGCGAAAGCGACUUCCUGGACCAAUACUGACGCUCAUGUGCGAAAGCGUGGGGAGCAAACAGG